CUUUUCGUCUCGGUACUGUCGUUAUUUGUUGUCCUUCUGUGUGUGCGUGUGCUGUCGCUGGCUGCCUGUCUCUCGGCCUCCCUCCCUCGCCCGCUCGAGUAGACUAGACGGUUGGUGGUGGUCGCUGGUCGUUAAACCUAACAAGCCACUCCACGCACUCAAACCACCUAGACUUAGCGAUUUCGAGGGUAGAAAGGGGGUGAGGGGGAGGUGGUUGCGGCCGUUCUUCUCGUCCCCUCCUCGUGCGCCCCUAGAGCUCAGCUCGAGGGAGGGAGGGUACCGGUGGUCCCAGGAGCUGUGCGAGCGGCAGCGCCGCCUCCUGCCGACGCCCCCGUCGCCGCGGCGCGACGGCGAGUGGAAGAAGCUGCACGGGACCUAGAAGUGGCCGGGGCACCUCGCGCAGAAGAAGAUGGGGAUGGGCGUGGGCGGGCUCGUCAAGGCCCGGCGGGAGGACGGCGCGGAGCAGAGGAGGGAGAGGCGGCGCGACCCGUUCAAGAUGGGCGAGGAGCCGGCGCAGGCGGGGACGGGCCUGCCGCCGCCCAUGCUCAAGAAGAACGGGCGCCCUCCUCCCCCACCGCCACUGUGGCAGCUCGAGUGGCAGCGGCUCUCGCUCCUACUAAAGCUGCUCGAGAGGCCGCUGCCCGGGGCGCUGCAGCGGGCCGAGAUGAGCGAGCACGGCGCCGAAGGCCACCAACUCCCCUCGCCCCUGCCGCCCAAGCGCGAGCGGCGCCAGGUCCACUGGCACAAGCGGCCCGCGCCCCAGCGGCAGCCGCACAGCUAGGUGGUGCAGCGGACGCUACUGAGGUCGAUGUACGUAAAGCAGUUCUGGACCCGGCCGGUGACGGCGGACCGGAGACCACCCCUCCUGCGGCCGCGGCGCGACGGCGGGGGCGGAAAGGACCUGGCGCGCCAGUAGCGCCUGGGGGCUCCCGAACGGCGGUCCUGCGAGCUGCUUUACGCCGUCGACCGCCGGUUGCCCGGAGGAGGAGGUGGGGGCCGCGGCCAUCCGGGCGGCGGGUUCGACCAGUAAGCCAGCAAGUGCGACCGGGCGCCGACGUAGCUGUUCGACUUCGUCGCGCACCGCCGGCUGCGGUUCCUGCGCUGGUGGGUGACGAGGCGCAAGUGCCACCGCACGCGCAAGCGCACCCGGACGGACCGCGCGAGGACGAGGCGGCUGCGGGGGAGGGGGCGGAGGCUGCUCGCGCGCGUGGACGAGAAGAGCCACCUCACGGCCGCGGCGGACAGGGGCGGCCACGGCGUCCUCAUGGACCCGUUGACGGACGCCGGGACGAAGCACCUCCAGUCGUGCGCGCUGGACGAGCCGCGCCUGCCCCACUGCCGGCGGCGGCGCCGCUAGCCGCGCCGGUAGGCCCGCGACCUGCCCCUGCCGCACGACCGCCCGCGGCUCCCCACCAAGGUCUUCUAGGACAGCGACCACGGCGCCGCCGGGUACAGGCACCCGCCGAGCGGCGCCAUGCCGCACAUGCUGUGGCUGAAGCCCGACCCCGCCGGCUCGUUCCACCUCGACCACAGGUAGCUGUUCUGGGGGCCGUGCCACAGCGACCGGCUCCCGUGGCUGCCCGUCGCGCCGUAGCUCCAGCCGCACCGCGACGGCCUCCGGCUGUACCGCGCCAAGCGGCGUAGGAAGAGGCUGCCGGACGUCGUCGAUACUCUUUCCCUCUACUAGAACGACCACCAGUCAGUCACGUUCUUGUUCUACUCUAAUAACUAGUAUAACGUUUUAACGUUAACGAGGAUAUGAUCAUGAUGAUAUUAUAUUUUACAUAUAAACUCUCUUACCUACGAUUUUAAUGUUACUCCGAAACAAUUACCCCCAUUAAUCAAGAUCAUUCACUCUUUUAAUCAACACC
rnacentral:rRNA from 1 species